GCUGCACUUGCAGCUGCUGCAAUGGCAGCAAGGCUGCUGCCAUUGCAGCUCUCUUUCUCUCCACUCUCUUGCACACACUCACGUUCUCUCUCUCAUUUUGCUCUCACAUAAUGCCUCUAUUUAUAGGCAUUUCAUGGCAGCUGUUCCACUUGUUCUGCUGUCAAACAUGGCUGCAAGGUUAGGCAUGGUAGGUUGCCUAACCAUUGAAAAUGGUGGCUGCCAAUAGUCAAUGGUUGGUGCCAACCAUUUGCUGCACAUGCAAUGGCAACAACCCAACAAUGAUCAAAACAACCACAACAAUGAUUGUUGUGUAUGGACACCGCUCGUCGUCUGACAUGCGACGGCUAAGCUUUGAUCAAAACAAUUCUGGCCUGAUAUGAGCCCAAGAUUAGACCGCCCCAUAACAACGGGCGAAGACGCCUUAGAGAAGGUGUGAGGGCUGCGAUAGGAGCCCCAUUUCAGACCGCCGCAUGACGACGAGCGGAGACACCUAAGGAGAAGGUGUGUGGGCCACGAUAGGAGCCCAAGUUCAUAACAACCCCAGAGCCAAUGUGAUGGUUGGAUAUGAGUGGACAGAUGGAUAGCCAAUGAAGUGGCUAUGAUG
rnacentral:lncRNA from 1 species